CAGCAUGACCCCCACCAGGGGUAGAAGAUUGAAUCGGGUAGAAAAAUGAACAAUUAGACUCAUUCCUAGCCAGCAGCUAAUUCUAUGUAAGAAUCUAUCAUUCAGGCAAAAAAAAAAAUCUGUCUGUGCGCAACUUUAACCCCUGCAGCCCCUGCCGUCAAUCCGGUCGAUUUUAUCUGACAGGCUGGACUUCCAGUGAAUGAAUAGUCCCCCCCUGGGGGUCACCAAGCCAACAAGGAAGCCCCUUAAAGAAAUGCUGUUGCUUUGAAUUACGGUUACGCUGAGAUGUGACAAGCAAUUCAUGUAGAUUAAAGGCAAAGUUUUCUUCCUUCCAGCCUCUUCCUUAUUUUGACUCCUGUGUGAUUCGCACAGUCAUAUCAGAAUCUCAUUCUUAAAUGUUCGUUUUAUGUGCCGUUCUGUCAUCUUAUUGUACAUCUAUUUUAAAGUGUAUAUUGAGAAUGCCCUUUUGAGAGGUGGUAAUGUUUGUAAAAUUAAACUUUAAUCCAAGAUGUACAAAUAGCUAAUUCCCAAAGCUUCAGCUGGAAGUUCCCCCAUCCGAACGAAGCUCUGACAGUCAAGUGCAGAAUGUCUUGUUCCAGCCCAGAUCUCCUGAGCAUUAAAGACAACAAUGGAAAUUAAAUAAUUCCUAAAACUAUUGUGGAGGGGGGUGCUGCACACAGAGUAGAAUGUUCUUUUAGAAAGGUACAAAGUGAAAUCUGCUUCACUCACACAAACACUGAUCCAAACAAUCUCCCUAUAUAUAUAUAUAUAGGUUUCCAAUUCUCUAUUGCUGCCUAGAAUAUUCAUAGGGGCAUGGGGUUUAGCAGGUGCAAAAUACUUCAAUUUAAUGCCCUUCUAACUCCAGCUCCCUGGGUGCACAAGGAAGCAUCUGGCUAAAGUGCCGCAGGGUAUUCUGUGCCAACAUUGUGCUACAUCUUGUCUGUUUGGUGUCGGGGAUGGGAAUUUUGGGGGUUUAUGUUCUACUGGCAGCAUUAGCCAAAGAGCUGAGCAUCCACUGUGUAAUGUGUCCCGACAGUCACAUCCUGAUCCCACUUAGUGUGUUUGUAAUAAAGCAGGAACA